rnacentral:rRNA from 1 species
AACGAACGCUGGCGGCAUACCUAAUACAUGCAAGUCGAACGAUCACUUCGGUGAUAGUGGCGCACGGGUGCGUAACGCGUGGGAAUCUGCCCUUGGGUUCGGAAUAACAGCUGGAAACGGCUGCUAAUACCGGAUGAUGACGUAAGUCCAAAGAUUUAUCGCCCAAGGAUGAGCCCGCGUAGGAUUAGCUAGUUGGUGGGGUAAAGGCCCACCAAGGCGACGAUCCUUAGCUGGUCUGAGAGGAUAAUCAGCCACACUGGGACUGAGACACGGCCCAGACUCCUACGGGAGGCAGCAGUAGGGAAUAUUGGACAAUGGGGGCAACCCUGAUCCAGCAAUGCCGCGUGAGUGAUGAAGGCCUUAGGGUUGUAAAGCUCUUUUACCCGAGAUGAUAAUGACAGUAUCGGGAGAAUAAGCUCCGGCUAACUCCGUGCCAGCCGCCGCCGUAA